UGAACGCUGGCGGCGUGCCUACUACAUGCAAGUCGAGCGAACAGACGAGGAGCUUGCUCCUCUGACGUUAGCGGCGGACGGGUGAGUAACACGUGGAUAACCUACCUAUAAGACUGGGAUAACUUCGGGAAACCGGAGCUAAUACCGGAUAAUAUAUUGAACCGCAUGGUUCAAUAGUGAAAGACGGUUUUGCUGUCACUUAUAGAUGGAUCCGCGCCGCAUUAGCUAGUUGGUAAGGUAACGGCUUACCAAGGCAACGAUGCGUAGCCGACCUGAGAGGGUGAUCGGCCACACUGGAACUGAGACACGGUCCAGACUCCUACGGGAGGCAGCAGUAGGGAAUCUUCCGCAAUGGGCGAAAGCCUGACGGAGCAACGCCGCGUGAGUGAUGAAGGUCUUCGGAUCGUAAAACUCUGUUAUUAGGGAAGAACAAAUGUGUAAGUAACUAUGCACGUCCUGACGGUACCUAAUCAGAAAGCCACGGCUAACUACGUG
rnacentral:rRNA from 1 species